GACGGAGGAUGCAAGCGUUAUCCGGAAUGAUUGGGCGUAAAGCGUCCGCAGGUGGCAGUUCAAGUCUGCUGUCAAAGACCGGGGCUUAACUUCGGAAAGGCAGUGGAAACUGAACAGCUAGAGUAUGGUAGGGGCAGAGGGAAUUCCUGGUGUAGCGGUGAAAUGCGUAGAGAUCGGGAAGAACACCAAUGGCGAAGGCACUCUGCUGGGCCACGACUGACACUGAGAGACGAAAGCUAGGGGAGCAAACGGG
rnacentral:rRNA from 1 species